rnacentral:lncRNA from 1 species
UCCUAUGUAAACACUUUUCUUAGAGUUGUAAGGCACUUAAAUGACUUUUUAUGUAACCUCCUCUAGCAAUCUUAAUAUCAGGGUUUUCGUCCACAGAACAGCGUCCUUUGCGAAGGGGCAAAGCGUCCUCAUCUAGCCUUGCUCCUGACUGGCAGCAGCUUGCCUGGCACCCACCCCUGCCUAGGUGCGCGUUUGAUAAAUGUCUUGCCGGCGGCGACGUUCAGUUGCCAUUCUCCACCACGCCGUGCACCUGCUCAGCAUCUCGCAGUCUCCACGGCCAGUCCCCGAGCCCAGGACCCCUCCCUCGCCGCACGGCCCCCUCCGUUCAUCCCGCCCGGGCCCUGGCGGAAACUGCCCGACCCCAGGCGGGAGCGGCGGGGCGGGCGGGGAAAGUGCUCGUAAUCACAUGGAGGCCCGGGCCCGCCCCAUUGGCUGCGGCCGGGCCAGUCGCAGCGCUCGCAGGCUGCGGUUGGUCCCGGAGCUGCAGCGCCUGCUCGGGCCCGGAGUCCAUGUUACGCUUUGUCUAAUUCCCCUCGUUACAGAGUCAUGUGCUGCUGCUCCAGUCGCCGUCGCUGCCGCCGCCCGUGGUGCCCCGGCUCCUCCGCCGCGCUUCGAGGUGGCCGCCGCGGGCGGGGCCGCGGGAGCAGGGUCCAGGGCGCCGCGCACCCCCGCCGCCCCGGCGCGUCCCGGAGCAGCCGCCGCCUGCCGCAGGUGAUGCCUCCGCCUCCCGCCUCCGCCUAAGCCGUGGCUCGGCGGCCGAGCUGCCCCAAAGGUCGGAAGUGCACGGCCGGGGUCCCAGGAUGGAGGAGUGAAGUCUCGCGCCGCGGUCCCAGCCUCCGGAGCCCGCCCGAAGCCCAGUCCCCGAGAGCGCCCUGACGGAGCAGGGUGGCCGCCGGGUCCAGGCAUGCUACAUCAGCUGUUCAACAGACAUUUGCUGAUCUCCUUCCCUGUCUUCUUCCUACGUCCUUGCACUAGUCAUGGUACAGUAUUAAGUUCUGAGGAUACAAUGUGAGUAUCACAAGGUGCCUGGCCUCAGAAGACAGAAACACAAACCAUUAACUGGAAUUAAGAAUACAUUGUGAUAAAUAAUAGAAUAGGGUGGGGCACAAACUAGAACCAUUUGUUCUUAUUUGUGAGGAAAGAAUUCCUGAAGGAGGUGAUUUUGGUGGUGAAUAUCAUUGGGAUAAGAUAAGGCUGAGCAGGAGAAAAACAGUCCAGACAGAAGAAACAGCCCAGGUUCUGAGUCUCCCAAGUUUAGUGUGUGAGGACCAUGGAGUUUGCGUGGCUGGAGCAGAGCAAUGGUGUUACAGAGGCAAAAGCAGGCCGCAGGAGCCUCUUGGUUUAGAUUCUUGCUCCAGCUCACCAUGUCAAGGGCUGUGCUUGGCAUUUCUUGAAGUGUGGGCUUUAUCCUGACAGCAUCACGGAACCACUAAAGGUAAAAUAAAUGCUCAGAUCACUGUCAUGUGAUAUAUGGAAAGGAAGCAUGGAGAAGUCUAUGGGCUACUACUGUAAUCCAAGUAGAGAUCAUAAGGACUUGAACUAAGGGAAUAAUAGGAAAGGAAACGAUGGACUGAAGAAACAUUUAGGAGAAAUAAUUGGCUCCUGAGUAGGGUGAAAGAGAGGGGAGUAACAGGAAGGAAGAAGAAAGAUGAUUCCUGAGUUAUCUGGUGACGAAGACUCUGUUUGAAAGUGUUACUAGUAAGGAUGGAACAAUUUUGGGGAGAAAUAUUAAAUUCUAUUUGUUUUUUGGGGGAGCAUUCUUCUGAUCUUGAGAAGUCUUGGCCCUUGAAGCGAAGUCAGGGCUGUAGACUUGAAUUGGGGAAUGACUGGAUUGAUCAUUGUAGCCAUGAAUGUAGUUGAGAUCUUGUAGGGGUAACUGAAGGAUCAAAACUAAGAGAAGUUAGAAUCACG